UAAGGACUCCCCUGUGAGGAUGAUUGUCUGGCAGGGUGUUUUCCCAGCAGAGAUGGAGUGUGUUCAGUCCCUCUUUAAGCAGAACGGCCUACACGUUUGAGCCUCCUUGGCGCUAGCCUCGGCGUAUUGCUAGGUUAAAAUGGCCUUGGGUUAAAAUAAUAAUACAUUUGUGAGCAAUCCCCUUGAGCUCACCUGAUAUCCUUUCCCCAUGCAGAGUUUCCAGUUUUCCCACCUGAUGAGCUCUCUCAGCCUCAACAAGGCAAAGACCUGUGGGUCCCAGAUCUCCAUGAUUCAGAGGAAAGCGAGAUCCUGAGCGGUACUUGCCCAAGGGAGGAAUCAUUCAGCCAAUUCGAAAUCUGUCCGUGGCUGAAGGAAACAGCUGGGAUUCCCGACAGAGACCUUGGGAGUUCUCCGAGUUCAGGAUUGUCCCCAGCAGGCUGCAGAAUAACAUCCCCGGGUCCCUCCAGAUUCUCCCAGCCCGCCCGGGGAAGGGAAAUGGAUGCAGCAGACCUGGCUCAGGGGCCGGUGACCUUCGAGGAGGUGGCUGUGCAUUUCACCAAGG